UGAGGAAUAUUGCGCAAUGGCCGAAAGGCUGACGCAGCGACGCCGCGUGGGGGAAGACGGCCUUCGGGUUGUAAAGCACUUUUUGGAAGGAAUAGGAAGGAAUGUACUUCCAGAAUAAGUCUCGGCUAACUACGUGCCAGCAGCCGCGGUAAUACGGAGGGUGCAAGCGUUGUUCGGAUUUACUGGGUAUAAAGGGUGCGUAGGCGGCGCGAUAAGUCAGGGGUGAAAUAUGUCGGCUCAACCGACAAACUGCCUCUGAAACUGCCGCGCUUGAGGUCGGGAGAGGAAGGUGGAAUUCCAGGUGUAGUGGUGAAAUGCGUAAAUAUCUGGAGGAACACCAAUGGCGAAGGCAGCCUUCUGGCCCGAUUCUGACGCUGAGGCACGAAAGCCAGGGGAGCAAACG
rnacentral:rRNA from 1 species